UACGUAGGGUGCGAGCGUUGUCCGGAAUUAUUGGGCGUAAAGGGCUCGUAGGCGGUUUGUCGCGUCUGCCGUGAAAGUCCGGGGCUCAACUCCGGAUCUGCGGUGGGUACGGGCAGACUAGAGUGAUGUAGGGGAGACUGGAAUUCCUGGUGUAGCGGUGAAAUGCGCAGAUAUCAGGAGGAACACCGAUGGCGAAGGCAGGUUUCUGGGCAUUAACUGACGCUGAGGAACGAAAGCAUGGGGAGCGAACAGG
rnacentral:rRNA from 1 species